AUUUUAUGUGGAGUGUAAUGGGUUUAAUUCGUAUUUACACUUCUAUAUAUCUGGUUGUUGCUAAUUGAAGAACAAACACCUGUCAUAGGAGGUAAUUAAUUUGGUAUCAAGACAUAAGUACACCUGGACUGGAUUUCCAUUAAACCUGUGCAAUUUAUGGUAUUGAGGAAGCCAUUCUGUAACUGGUACGGCUAAAAUGAAUUAUUAUUUGACAUAUUUUCACAUGUGAUUACUGGAUAUGUCAAAGUUGGGCAAUAUAUUUAUCAAAGGCAUUAAGUAUUAUAAUCAACAAUACUUGUAAAAUUGUCAUACUCAGAAAUGGCAUUUUUAAUAAUGGAUCAUGUAUACAUUAUUCAUUCAUACGGUACUUCUGGGUAACUUGAAGUUUUCGUUUAUAAACAGCUAACAUUCAUACAACUUUUCAGAUGUACAAUUUUCCUCAAUUAUUUCAGCGCUGAGAUUUCAUUCAUACAAGAAAUUUAAUACAUGUGUAUUUACAGGGAAUAGAGAGCUUGACAGUAUUUGUCGAUUGGCCACCUGGAGAACGGUAUAAACCAACGGCUCAUCUAAACAGAAGUAUACUCCAUUUCGUCCUCAACCUAAACACUCGCAGCGGUGUACUGCACAAUCAUGGGUUCAUCUAGGGUGAGGUUCUCCAGGUUAUGUGAAAGGGACCUCCAGGUUAGUCAUAGUUCGGGUAAAAGGACCACUCUGAUGUGCAAGCAGAGGAACGGUGGUGUCCACCUGAGGCACACUAUUUCAGUGCAACAGGGAGCGGCAUCUACCAGCUUUGGCAGAAUGAAAAACUCCGCUUCUUGUUUAAUUUCAUUCAGGACCUGCAAGUCAUUUGGUAGGUAUCCUGCAGGCAUUUGUCUGUCAUACCGUAAAUAGUUCAGGAUGAACUUAAAAUGGGAUGGAUCACGGUCAAUGAUAAUCUUGGAGUCUCCGUCAGUAGCUAGUCCGCAAGGAGGUAGUGGUACUGUGGCAGUUUCAGUCGGUAGUGCAGGCAUAGAGAGUGUUGGCUUCUUCUGAUUUAUGGUCGGCUUAUACGGAUGGUAAUGUGGAUUGGCAGGAUGUUUGUUAUGACUGGAACCAAGUACAGUUUCUCUUAUUGGAGAUAGAGGUUUCUUAGAGGUGUGAGAGGACAUACAUGGAAUGGUUGUUCCUGGAUGUUACUGAUAGAGUACUAUUUUGAUGGCAGUCACAGGGAUAUAUGGUAAUAGGUUUACCCAUUACAAGAUCUAUGGGGAGGUUGAUUUGUCUGCCAAACAUUAUGGCACAAGGAGAUACACCAGUACUCUCAUGGACGCUUGACCUGUACGCUAACAUAAGUAAAGGUUGUAAUGGCGGUCUAGAGUCUGGUGGGAGAAUUUCAUACUUGGAUCUCUUCAGUAUGCUAACAUUAGAACCAGUAUCAAGUAAUGCGGACCAUAACGUUGUGUUAGUAGGUCUACUAACAGUUUGUAGUCAUAGUGGUCUCUGAAAUCAAGUUCUGUCAACAUGGAACGGGCAUCUCCUUUUAGACAACUAGCAAGGCAUAAUCCUUUGGAUCUUAAAUUCCAGUUAUUCAAGUCACUACAAAUUUGGAAAGAUAUUAGAAAUUCAUUCAAGUCGUCUGUACCGUCAAAAGUUGGCCGGUCCAGAAUGCAGUCAGCAAAAGGCAUUCAAAUAAGGCUGUAAUGGUAGAUCCAAUCAACAAUUUUACUUGUUUGAUUGAAUGGUCAGCACCUGGAAGAACUAUGGAAUAUCAGUAACUGAAGAUGUUGCUAAAACAGCAUAAUGAAAUGAAUUGUAAAAUAAUCAAUAAAAUAUUUUGUGUCACUGUC